AGAUGGCUUAGUGCCUUCGGGAACCGUGAGACAGGUGCUGCAUGGCUGUUGUCAGCUCGUGUUGUGAAAUGUUGGGUUAAGUCCCGCAACGAGCGCAACCCUUAUCCUUUGUUGCCAGCACGUAAUGGUGGGAACUCAAAGGAGACUGCCGGUGAUAAACCGGAGGAAGGUGGGGAUGACGUCAAGUCAUCAUGGCCCUUACGAGUAGGGCUACACACGUGCUACAAUGGCAUAUACAAAGAGAAGCGAACUCGCGAGAGCAAGCGGACCUCAUAAAGUAUGUCGUAGUCCGGAUUGGAGUCUGCAACUCGACUCCAUGAAGUCGGAAUCGCUAGUAAUCGUAGAUCAGAAUGCUACGGUGAAUACGUUCCCGGGCCUUGUACACACCGCCCGUCACACCAUGGGAGUGGGUUGCAAAAGAAGUAGGUAGCUUAACCUUCGGGAGGGCGCUUACCACUUUGUGAUUCAUGACUGGGGUGAAGUCGUAACAAGGUAACCGU
rnacentral:rRNA from 1 species